rnacentral:lncRNA from 1 species
UGAGAAAUUGCUUCCCUGAAGCCUCCUUCAUUGCCCUGGGGAUUAUAUACCCUUGACCUUCAAGACAAUAUUCUUUACCUGUCCACAGGUGGUAGGCUCAGGCUUUUAUAUAACUGCACUCAAGUGCCUCAGAGUUUUCUUUCUUUAACUGAGGUUAGGAAAUCUGAAAACACAGAACUUCAUUGCUUUCUAGCCCGGCUGUGGAUCAAAAUUACCCACGCACCUUAAAAGAACAUACAGAUACCUGGAUGCUUCCCUGAAAGAAUUCUACUGCAGAGGAUCAGGAUCGUGUCAGACUACUGAGGAUGCUGUCAGCAAAUCCCAGCUCUGGAGACAAAAGAGAGAUCAAGGGAGAACUUACAAAAAGAGGUCAGAGACACACUGGGUGUGAACUUGGGUUACCCACACUCCCAUCAAACACGUGCUGAAACAAAUGACAGAGAAGAUUGGAGACACUGGGGGACAAUUGAAAUUUUGACAACCAGGACCUAUGAUGAAUUUAGGACAUGUUUAGAUGUAAU